UGGGAACUUGCCAUCACUCUGGUUUCUCUGC
rnacentral:piRNA from 1 species